rnacentral:lncRNA from 1 species
AAUGUAGCUAUUAAUGUAAGGAAUAUUGUCAAAUAUUGGUUUCUCAUCUGUAGAGAAUGUAGCUAAUAAUGUAAGGAAUAUUGUCAAAUAUUGGUUUCUCAUCUGUAGAAAAUGUAGCUAUUAAUGUAAGGAAUAUUGUCAACUACUGGAUUCUCAUCUGUAGAGAAUGUAGCUAUUAAUGUAAGGAAUAUUGUCAAAUAUUGGUUUCUCAUCUUAGAGAAUGUAGCUAUUAAUGUAAGGAAUAUUGUCAAACAUUGGUUUCUCAUCUGUAGAGAAUGUAGCUAUUAAUGUAAGGAAUAUUGUCAACUACUGGCUUCUCAUCUGUAGAGAAUGUAGCUAUUAAUGUAAGGAAUAUUGUCAACUACUGAUUUCUCAUCUGUAGAGAAUGUAGCUAUUAAUGUAAGGAAUAUUGUCAACUACUGGCUUCUCAUCUGUAGAGAAUGUAGCUAUUAAUGUAAGGAAUAUUGUCAAAUAUUGGUUUCUCAUCUGUAGAGAAUGUAGCUAAUAAUGUAAGGAAUAUUGUCAAAUAUUGGUUUCUCAUCUGUAGAGAAUGUAGCUAUUAAUGUAAGGAAUAUUGUCAACUACUGGCUUCUCAUCUGUAGAGAAUGUAGCUAUUAAUGUAAGGAAUAUUGUCAACUACUGAUUUCUCAUCUGUAGAGAAUGUAGCUAAUAAUGUAAGGAAUAUUGUCAACUACUGGUUUCUCAUCUGUAGAGAAUGUAGCUAUUAAUGUAAGGAAUAUUGUCAAAUAUUGGUUUCUCAUCUGUAGAAAAUGUAGCUAUUAAUGUAAGGAAUAUUGUCAACUACUGAUUUCUCAUCUGUAGAAAAUGUAGCUAAUAAUGUAAGGAAUAUUGUCAAAUAUUGGUUUCUCAUCUGUAGAAAAUGUAGCUAUUAAUGUAAGGAAUAUUGUCAACUACUGGAUUCUCAUCUGUAAAGAAUGUAGCUAAUAAUG